GGGGACAUAGCUCAGUGGCAUGGUGCCUGCCUGGCAAGCAGAAUGUCCCCA
rnacentral:tRNA from 1 species